rnacentral:rRNA from 1 species
AUGUCUUCCCCAAGCAAGCGCAGGGAGAUGGAUCUCAUGAAGCUGAUGAUGAGUGACUACAAGGUGGACAUGAUCAACGACGGGAUGCACGAGUUCUUCGUCCACUUCCACGGACCCAAAGACAGUAUUUACCAGGGUGGUGUGUGGAAGGUCAGGGUUGAACUCACCGAAGCUUACCCUUACAAAUCCCCUUCCAUUGGCUUCACCAACAAGAUCUAUCACCCCAAUGUCGAUGAGAUGUCUGGUUCUGUCUGCUUGGAUGUGAUCAAUCAGACAUGGAGCCCGAUGUUUGACCUUGUGAAUAUCUUUGAGGUGUUCCUGCCCCAGCUUCUCCUGUACCCGAACCCCUCGGACCCCUUGAACGGCGAGGCGGCUUCGCUCAUGAUGCGCGACAAGAAUGCCUAUGAAAAUAAAGUCAAAGAAUAUUGUGAGAGAUAUGCCAAGCCUGAAGAUAUAUCCCCAGAGGAGGAAGAGGAGGAGAGUGAUGAGGAGCUGAGCGACGCCGAGGGCUACGACUCCGGCGACGAGGCCAUCAUGGGCCACGCAGACCCUUAA